rnacentral:lncRNA from 1 species
GACCCGAUCCGUUAUGUAUUUGUAUGUAUAGGGGUCCCCAGAUAUUUUGGAACCCCCCGGACUUCAUUUUUCAUUGUUUGUUCUCGGUUUAAUAAAAACUCUCUGAGUUUCAGAGACUUCUCAAAUCCUCCUCCUUCUCUCUACUUUCUCUCUCUACAAUCUCCAUGAUUUCUCGGCUUAACCUCGAUGUUUUCAAAGUGUUUCUGGGCUUUGGAAUUUCCUGAAGAGAUGGUGUUCGGAGAAAGUUGUUAUCUUGGAUUAUCUGGU